UACGUAGGUGGCAAGCGUUGUCCGGAAUUAUUGGGCGUAAAGCGCGCGCAGGCGGUCCUUUAAGUCUGAUGUGAUAGCCCACGGCUCAACCGUGGAGGGUCAUUGGAAACUGGGGGACUUGAGUACAGAAGAGAAGAGUGGAAUUCCACGUGUAGCGGUGAAAUGCGUAGAGAUGUGGAGGAACACCAGUGGCGAAGGCGACUCUUUGGUCUGUAACUGACGCUGAGGCGCGAAAGCGUGGGGAGCAAACAGG
rnacentral:rRNA from 1 species